AUUUAACGUUGCCACAGGAUGGAUUCUACGAAACCUGUAAAAUGUAGUUUUAAUACUGUACCGGAGGAUCCGGUUCGGGCAAAGCAAGAUCAACUCGAAGAUUUGCAGCAGAACGUGAUUGAGAUCCUGGUAUUUGGAACUGGAAGAGAAUGUGGCCAACCCUAAGUUCGAUGCGUAUCGAGACGACGCAAGCGACCUGCUGACUCUAAAGGACUGCUGUGCCGGAGGAUC